ACUGCCCCUAGAGGUGUUGUAGGUAUGGCUGCUAUGUCACAUGUGUGUCAGUAGAUGGCAGAGGUGAAAGGCUACAACUAUGUUCAGUGUUCUGACCUGUGAACAUCUGAAUGAUUAGUAGCCUAAAAUU